AACCUUUACAAUGCACGAAAGUGUGAUAAGGGAAUCCCAAGUGUCUUGCUUUAAGUAAGACUUUUGCCAUGCGUAAAUAACAUGGCGAAUAAGUGGUGGGUAAGACUUGUGCCAGCCGCCGCGGUAACACCAGCGCCACAAGUGGCAACCGCUUUUAUUGGGCCUAAAGCGUCCGUAGCCGGUUUAGUAAAUUUUCUGUGAAAUCGUUAGGCUUAACUUAACGGCGUGCAGAAAACACUACUAGACUUGGGACCGGGAGGCGUCAGAGGUAUUCUCGAGGGAGCGGUAAAAUGCUAUAAUCUCGGGAGGACCACCGAUGGCGAAGGCAUCUGACGAGAACGGAUCCGACGGUGAGGGACGAAAGCUAGGGGAGCAAACCGG
rnacentral:rRNA from 1 species